rnacentral:rRNA from 1 species
AGCAAGAAAUCUAGCUUACCCCGACCUACUAAUAUCAAAACCCGCAUCAAAACAAACCAUUUGUCCCAUUCAGUAUCCGCGACAGAAAAAAAUCAACUAAAGCAACAGAACAAGUACCGCAAGGAAACGAUGAAAGAAAGUGAAACAAUAAAAGCAAUAAAAAGCAAUGAUCAUCCCACGUACCUUUUGCAUCAUGGUUCAACAAGAAACUGUAGAUAAAGAGAACUCUAACCUACUCACCCGAAACCAGACGAGCUACCUCAGGGCAAUCCAAAAGAAUCCACUCAUCUCUGUGGCAAAAGAGAGAGAAGACCCUGAAGUAGGGGCGAAAAACCAACCGAGCCUGGUAAUAGCUGGUUGCUCUAGUAAAUGAACUUUAGUUCACCUCUAGGACAGCAUGACAUAACAAAGUCCUUUCCCUCCUCCCUAGAAGAUACUCAGUAAAGGAACAGCUUUACUGACCCAGGAUACAACCUGAAUUAGAGGCACCUACAAUUAACAUCCCCCGUAGGCCUUAAACCAGCCACCACAAACGACUGCGUCAAAGCGCAACUACAACCGAUCCUAAUCGCUAACUAGAACACGCCCUAAUUUUAUUACAGAGCCACUCUAUAAACAAAUAGAGGCACCAAUGCUGAAACUAGUAAUAAGAAGAACCACUUCUCACAGCACACCCAUCAAUCAGUAAACGGAUAACCCACUGAAAAUUAAACAAGCUUCCCACAAAGAAUUAUAUUAACCUCCCAAGAUAUUCUAUUAACAAUUUGUGACACCAACACAGGGGUGCGAGAAAGACAGAUUAAAAACCCUAAAAGGAAUUCAGCUAACAGGCCCCAACUGUUUACCAAAAACAUAGCCUUUAGCCCCAGACAAGUAUUAAAGGUCUCGCCUGCCCAGUGAUCUCUUUUUUAACGGCCGCGGUAUCCUAACCGUGCAAAGGUAGCGUAAUCAUUUGUCUCCUAAAUAGAGACUUGUAUGAACGGCUAACUGAGGGCCUAACUGUCUCCUAGGGCCGAUCAAUGAAACUGAUCUUCCAGUACAAAAGCUGAAAUACACCCAUAAGACGAGAAGACCCUGUGGAGCUUUAAACUAAUAUUAUAAACUCAAGCGCACCAUAACCCUCUUUCACCAUAAUAAAAGUUUUUAGUUGGGGCGACUUUGGAAUAAAACAAAACUUCCAUGCCAGGGACCCACCCCUAUCAAGGCAAACGUGCCAAAAUACAACUUUUUGACCCAGUACAUCUGAUCAACGAACCAAGUUACCCCAGGGAUAACAGCGCCAUCCUCUUCAAGAGUCCCUAUCGACAAGAGGGUUUACGACCUCGAUGUUGGAUCAGGACACCCCGGUGGUGCAACCGCUACCAAAGGUUCGUUUGUUCAACGAUUAAUAGUCCUACGUGAUCUGAGUUCAGACCGGAGUAAUCCAGGUCGGUUUCUAUCUAUGCCCUCCUUCUUCAGUACGAAAGGACCAAGAAAGCAAUACCCAUAGUCAAGCUACGUAUUGAACCACCGAUUGCCCGCCACUAAAAUCACCAUAUCACCAAAAUAUUAACCCUAAAUCUAGGGCAUU